UACGGGGGGGGCAAGCGUUGUUCGGAUUUACUGGGCGUAAAGGGCGCGUAGGCGGCCAGCACAAGUCAGUUGUGAAAUCUCCGGGCUUAACUCGGAAAGGUCAACUGAUACUGUGCGGCUAGAGUGCAGAAGGGGCAACUGGAAUUCUCGGUGUAGCGGUGAAAUGCGUAGAUAUCGAGAGGAACACCUGCGGCGAAGGCGGGUUGCUGGGCUGACACUGACGCUGAUGCGCGAAAGCCAGGGGAGCGAACGGG
rnacentral:rRNA from 1 species